AUUGAACGCUGGCGGCAGGCUUAACACAUGCAAGUCGAGCGGUAACAGAGAGAAGCUUGCUUCUCUGCUGACGAGCGGCGGACGGGUGAGUAAUGCCUAGGAAUCUGCCUAGUAGUGGGGGAUAACUUGCCGAAAGGUAAGCUAAUACCGCAUACGUCCUACGGGAGAAAGGAGGGGACCUUCGGGCCUUUCGCUAUUAGAUGAGCCUAGGUCGGAUUAGUUAGUUGGUGAGGUAAUGGCUCACCAAGACCGCGAUCCGUAACUGGUCUGAGAGGAUGAUCAGUCAUACUGGAACUGAGACACGGUCCAGACUCCUACGGGAGGCAGCAGUGGGGAAUAUUGGACAAUGGGGGGAACCCUGAUCCAGCCAUGCCGCGUGUGUGAAGAAGGUCUUAGGAUUGUAAAGCACUUUAAGUUGGGAGGAAGAGCAGUUAACUAAUAUUUGACUGUUUUGACGUUACCGACAGAAUAAGCACCGGCUAACUUCGUG
rnacentral:rRNA from 1 species